rnacentral:rRNA from 1 species
CCUACGUGAGGCAGCAGUGAGGAAUAUUGGUCAAUGGACGAGAGUCUGAACCAGCCAAGUAGCGUGAAGGAUGACUGCCCUAUGGGUUGUAAACUUCUUUUAUAUGGGAAUAAAAUGUUCCACGUGUGGGAUUUUGUAUGUACCUUAUGAAUAAGGAUCGGCUAACUCCGUGCCAGCAGCCGCGGUAAUACGGAGGAUCCGGGCGUUAUCCGGAUUUCUUGGGUUUAAAGGGAGCGUAGGUGGAUUGUUAAGUCAGUUGUGAAAGGUUGCGGCUCAACCGUAAAAUUGCAGUUGAAACUGGCAGUCUUGAGUACAGUAGAGGUGGGCGGAAUUCGUGGUGGAGCGGUGAAAUGCUUAGAUAUCACGAAGAACUCCGAUUGCGAAGGCAGUUCACUGGACUGCAACUGACACUGAGGCACGAAAGUGUGGGUAUCAAACAGGAGUAGAUACCCGAGUAGUC